UACGUAGGGACCGAGCGUUGUCCGGAUUUAUUGGGCGUAAGGAGCGUGUAGGCGGCUGGGUAGGUCCGUUGUGAAAACUCGAGGCUCAACCUCGAGACGCCGAUGGAAACCAUCCAGCUAGAGUCCGGAAGAGGAGAGUGGAAUUCCUGGUGUAGCGGUGAAAUGCGCAGAUAUCAGGAAGAACACCCGUGGCUAAGGCGGCUCUCUAGUACGUGACUGACGCUGAGACGCGAAAGCGUGGGGAGCGAACAGG
rnacentral:rRNA from 1 species